rnacentral:rRNA from 1 species
AUUGAACGCUGGCGGCAGGCCUAACACAUGCAAGUCGAACGGUAACAGGAAGCAGCUUGCUGCUUUGCUGACGAGUGGCGGACGGGUGAGUAAUGUCUGGGAAACUGCCCGAUGGAGGGGGAUAACUACUGGAAGCGGUAGCUAAUACCGCAUAACGUCGCAAGACCAAAGAGGGGGACCUUAGGGCCUCUUGCCAUCGGCUGUGCCCAGAUGGGAUUAGCUAGUAGGUGGGGUAACGGCUCACCUAGGCGACGAUCCCUAGCUGGUCUGAGAGGAUGACCAGCCACACUGGAACUGAGACACGGUCCAGACUCCUACGGGAGGCAGCAGUGGGGAAUAUUGCACAAUGGGCGCAAGCCUGAUGCAGCCAUGCCGCGUGUAUGAAGAAGGCCUUCGGGUUGUAAAGUACUUUCAGCGGGGAGGAAGGGAGUAAAGUUAAUACCUUUGCUCAUUGACGGUACCCGCAGAAGAAGCACCGGCUAACUCCGUG